rnacentral:lncRNA from 1 species
AUCCGACUUGAAACGAGGGAGAACGGACCAAAACAAAAAUGCUGCGCAUUGCAGUAGACGGCGGGCGCCGUGGGACGGCGGCCGCCGUGCCCAUUCUGCGAAAGGCCCUCACGGCGGCGCCGUUACACGGCGGCGGCCGCCUCUGUGCAGAUCCGACAGUACGAUUUUGCGUUUAAAAACCCCUUUCUAGGGUUUUACUUUAUCAUUCUCGUCCCCAGCAGCCCCCAGGCGAUUUUUCCCUUGUUCUCCCUUAGUUUUUGAGUAGUUAGAAACAUCA